rnacentral:rRNA from 1 species
GAUGAACGCUAGCGGCAGGCCUAAUACAUGCAAGUCGGACGGGAUUGAGAAGCUUGCUUUUCAUGAGAGUGGCGCACGGGUGCGUAACACGUAUGUAACCUACCUUAAUCAGGGGGAUAGCCUCUCGAAAGAGAGAUUAACACCGCAUAAAAUCAAUUUAUGGCAUCAUAGAAUGAUCAAAUAUUUAUAGGAUUAAGAUGGGCAUGCGGAACAUUAGCUAGUUGGUAAGGUAACGGCUUACCAAGGCUACGAUGUUGAGGGGAUCUGAGAGGAUGACCACCCACACUGGUACUGAGACACGGACCAGACUCCUACGGGAGGCAGCAGUAAGGAAUAUUGGUCAAUGGGCGCAAGCCUGAACCAGCCAUGCCGCGUGCAGGAAGACGGCCCUACGGGUUGUAAACUGCUUUUGUACCGGAAUAAACCUUUGUAUGUAUACGAAGCUGAAUGUACGGUAAGAAUAAGGAUCGGCUAACUCCGUGCCAGCCGCCGCGGUAA